GACGAACGCUGGCGGCGUGCUUAACACAUGCAAGUCGAACGGAAAGGCCUCUUUCGGGGGGUACUCGAGUGGCGAACGGGUGAGUAACACGUGAGUAACCUGCCCUUGACUUUGGGAUAACUUCAGGAAACUGGGGCUAAUACCGGAUAGGAGCUCCUGCUGCAUGGUGGGAGUUGGAAAGUUUCGGCGGUUGGGGAUGGACUCGCGGCUUAUCAGCUUGUUGGUGGGGUAGUGGCUUACCAAGGCUUUGACGGGUAGCCGGCCUGAGAGGGUGACCGGCCACAUUGGGACUGAGAUACGGCCCAGACUCCUACGGGAGGCAGCAGUGGGGAAUAUUGCACAAGGGGUGGAAGCCUGAUGCAGCAACGCCGUGGGCGGGAUGACGGCCUUCGGGUUGUAAACCGCUUUCGCUCAUGACGAAGCUUUGUGUGACGGUAGUGGGUAAAGAAGCACCGGCUAACUACGUG
rnacentral:rRNA from 1 species